rnacentral:rRNA from 1 species
AUUGAACGCUGGCGGCAUGCCUUACACAUGCAAGUCGAACGGCAGCACGGGUGCCUGCACCUGGUGGCGAGUGGCGAACGGGUGAGUAAUACAUCGGAACAUGUCCUGUAGUGGGGGAUAGCCCGGCGAAAGCCGGAUUAAUACCGCAUACGAUCCACGGAUGAAAGCGGGGGACCUUCGGGCCUCGCGCUAUAGGGUUGGCCGAUGGCUGAUUAGCUAGUCGGUGGGGUAAAGGCCUACCAAGGCGACGAUCAGUAGCUGGUCUGAGAGGACGACCAGCCACACUGGGACUGAGACACGGCCCAGACUCCUACGGGAGGCAGCAGUGGGGAAUUUUGGACAAUGGGCGAAAGCCUGAUCCAGCAAUGCCGCGUGUGUGAAGAAGGCCUUCGGGUUGUAAAGCACUUUUGUCCGGAAAGAAAUCCUUGACUCUAAUACAGUCGGGGGAUGACGGUACCGGAAGAAUAAGCACCGGCUAACUACGUG